CCAAAGGCUCUUUUCAGAGCCACCCAACUGUUCUCGAAUGAGUUGU
rnacentral:ncRNA from 1 species